UGCAAGUCGAGCGGUAGCACAGGGGAGCUUGCUCCCUGGGUGACGAGCGGCGGACGGGUGAGUAAUGUCUGGGAAACUGCCUGAUGGAGGGGGAUAACUACUGGAAACGGUAGCUAAUACCGCAUAACGUCGCAAGACCAAAGAGGGGGACCUUCGGGCCUCUUGCCAUCAGAUGUGCCCAGAUGGGAUUAGCUAGUAGGUGGGGUAAUGGCUCACCUAGGCGACGAUCCCUAGCUGGUCUGAGAGGAUGACCAGCCACACUGGAACUGAGACACGGUCCAGACUCCUACGGGAGGCA
rnacentral:rRNA from 1 species